UACUGUCCCCUGAGUAGAUUGUGG
rnacentral:piRNA from 1 species